rnacentral:misc_RNA from 1 species
AAGUCGUAACAAGGUUUCCGUAGGUGAACCUGCGGAAGGAUCAUUAAACCUUAUACUUCGGGGGGCCGGCGUUGAAUAGCAGUUCCAUUGCGGAUCAGCUUUUCUCCCCGCCCUGUCUGAAUAUUACCCAUGCUUUUUGCGUACCCAUUGUUUCCUCGGCAGGCUUGCCUGCCAGCAGGACCCCUUUUAAAACCUUUUGCAAUUGCAGUCAGCGUCAGAAAAAAAACUUAAUAGUUACAACUUUCAACAACGGAUCUCUUGGUUCUG